AGGGAGCUUGCUCCCGGAUGUUAGCGGCGGACGGGUGAGUAACACGUGGGUAACCUGCCUGUAAGACUGGGAUAACUCCGGGAAACCGGAGCUAAUACCGGAUAGUUCCUUGAACCGCAUGGUUCAAGGAUGAAAGACGGUUUCGGCUGUCACUUACAGAUGGACCCGCGGCGCAUUAGCUAGUUGGUGAGGUAACGGCUCACCAAGGCGACGAUGCGUAGCCGACCUGAGAGGGUGAUCGGCCACACUGGGACUGAGACACGGCCCAGACUCCUACGGGAGGCAGCAGUAGGGAAUCUUCCGCAAUGGACGAAAGUCUGACGGAGCAACGCCGCGUGAGUGAUGAAGGUUUUCGGAUCGUAAAGCUCUGUUGUUAGGGAAGAACAAGUGCAAGAGUAACUGCUUGCACCUUGACGGUACCUAACCAGAAAGCCACGGCUAACUACGUGCCAGCAGCCGCGGUAAUACGUAGGUGGCAAGCGUUGUCCGGAAUUAUUGGGCGUAAAGGGCUCGCAGGCGGUUUCUUAAGUCUGAUGUGAAAGCCCCCGGCUCAACCGGGGAGGGUCAUUGGAAACUGGGAAACUUGAGUGCAGAAGAGGAGAGUGGAAUUCCACGUGUAGCGGUGAAAUGCGUAGAGAUGUGGAGGAACACCAGUGGCGAAGGCGACUCUCUGGUCUGUAACUGACGCUGAGGAGCGAAAGCGUGGGGAGCGAACAGGAUUAGAUACCCUGGUAGUCCACGCCGUAAACGAUGAGUGCUAAGUGUUAGGGGGUUUCCGCCCCUUAGUGCUGCAGCUAACGCAUUAAGCACUCCGCCUGGGGAGUACGGUCGCAAGACUG
rnacentral:rRNA from 1 species